rnacentral:snRNA from 1 species
GGAUGUGAGGGCGAUCUGGCUGUGACAUCUGUCACCCCAUUGAUCGCCAGGGUUGAUUCGGCUGAUCUGGCUGGCUAGGCGGGUAUCCCCUUCCUCCCUCACCGCUCCACGUGCGUCCCUCCCGAAGCUGCACGCUCCGUCGAAGAGGACGACCACCCCCGAUAGAGGAGGACCGUUUUCUCAGUCAAGGGUGUACGAGUAGCUGCGCUCCCCUGCUAGAACCUCCAAACAAGCUCUCAAAAUUUGCUACAAUGUCUGUCAUAUAUCUUUGUCAUAUAACAUUUUUAUAAACGGGCUUGGGAUGUAGCUCUGU